rnacentral:rRNA from 1 species
GUGGGGAAUUUUGGACAAUGGGCGCAAGCCUGAUCCAGCAAUGCCGCGUGCAGGAAGAAGGCCUUCGGGUUGUAAACUGCUUUUGUACGGAACGAAACGGUCCGGGUUAAUACCCUGGGCUAAUGACGGUACCGUAAGAAUAAGCACCGGCUAACUACGUGCCAGCAGCCGCGGUACUACGUAGGGUGCAAGCGUUAAUCGGAAUUACUGGGCGUAAAGCGUGCGCAGGCGGUUUUGUAAGACAGGCGUGAAAUCCCCGGGCUCAACCUGGGAAUUGCGCUUGUGACUGCAAGGCUGGAGUGCGGCAGAGGGGGAUGGAAUUCCGCGUGUAGCAGUGAAAUGCGUAGAUAUGCGGAGGAACACCGAUGGCGAAGGCAAUCCCCUGGGCCUGCACUGACGCUCAUGCACGAAAGCGUGGGGAGCAAACAGGAUUAGAAACCCGUGUAGUCC